rnacentral:rRNA from 1 species
GACGAACGCUGGCGGCGUGCUUAACACAUGCAAGUCGAACGGAAAGGCCCUGCUUUUGUGGGGUGCUCGAGUGGCGAACGGGUGAGUAACACGUGAGUAACCUGCCCUUGACUUUGGGAUAACUUCAGGAAACUGGGGCUAAUACCGGAUAGGAGCUCCUGCUGCAUGGUGGGGGUUGGAAAGUUUCGGCGGUUGGGGAUGGACUCGCGGCUUAUCAGCUUGUUGGUGGGGUAGUGGCUUACCAAGGCUUUGACGGGUAGCCGGCCUGAGAGGGUGACCGGCCAAAUUGGGACUGAGGGACGACCCAGACCCCACCGGGGGGCAGCGGGGGGGAAUAUGGCAGAGUGGGGGGAGGCCGGAUCCGGACGCGCCGCGGGCGGAAUGACGGCUUUCGGUUUGUAAACCGCUUUCGCCUGGGAGGAAGGGGGAGUGAGGGUAAGGGGUAAAGAAGCACCGGCUAACUACGUG